CAUUAUGUGCAAGUAUAUGCUAACUCAUCCUGCCAGAGCUAAGGCUCUGCUUGCUGAGGACAUCACCAUGAGGACAUCACCAUGAGGAAGAAGAUUUCUGGUUUGAUUCCUGUUCAGACUGAAAGUUAAUUCGCUAAUGGCUCUCCAUUGGCCCAUAACACAAGCCUGGAUGAUCUCAAUUCUAGUUCCCAAGGACAGAGUGUCCUGUCACACAGAGGAGGAACAGUAAAUUUGCUGUGGGUUUGGAUUCCAUGUUUGACCAAGCACCCAAACUUCAGACACCAGAUAUCAGGAGAUUCACAACAGCCUACUGAGAGAAUAUGACUCUUGGAACAAGAGAACAUCACCUGAAUUCUGAAGGCUUUCUUGCAUUUCAGCAAUGAAGACUCCUGCAAAGUGUUCACCUGCCCUGAGGGAUGGAACAACUUGGCAAGAUGUCUGCAUUACAAUUGGAAUAUUGCAUCUGCUGGGAGAAGACUUGAGAGAAUACUUUUACUUUUCACCAGUUCCUGCUGUGCCUUGGCAUUUACAGUCCCUCUGGAGAAACACUGUCAGCAGUUUUCACCUCUGCCUUGCAGACUGGCUCAGCAGUGUGACAAGCAUAUUAGUUCAUCACUGAGCCCCAUCCAGUUCCUCAGGAGGGUUACAAGCUGUCCAUGGAAGUAUUACUGAAUUGUCUACUCUGAAUAAAUGCUCACAUGAAAAAAAAACA
rnacentral:lncRNA from 1 species